UAUUGCACAAUGGAGGAAACUCUGAUGCAGUGACACCGCGUAUAGGAAGAAGGUUUUCGGAUUGUAAACUAUUUUAGACAGGGAAGAAAAAAGACAGUACCUGUAGAAUAAGCUCCGGCUAACUACGUGCCAGCAGCCGCGGUGAUACGUAGGGAGCAAGCGUUAUCCGGAAUUAUUGGGUGUAAAGGGUGCGUAGGCGGGCUUUUAAGUCAGCGGUAAAAAUUCGGGGCUCAACCCCGUCCGGCCGUUGAAACUGGGGGCCUUGAGUGGGCGAGAAGAAGGCGGAAUGCGUGGUGUAGCGGUGAAAUGCAUAGAUAUCACGCAGAACCCCGAUUGCGAAGGCAGCCUUCCGGCGCCCUACUGACGCUGAGGCACGAAAGUGCGGGGAUCGAACAGG
rnacentral:rRNA from 1 species